rnacentral:rRNA from 1 species
CAGUCGAGCGGAACGAAAGUAGCUUGCUACUAGGCGUCGAGCGGCGGACGGGUGAGUAAUGCUUAGGAAUCUACCGAGUAGUGGGGGAUAGCCAUUGGAAACGAUGAUUAAUACCGCAUAUAUCCUACGGGGGAAAGCAGGGGACCUUCGGGCCUUGCGCUAUUCGAUGAGCCUGAGUGAGAUUAGCUAGUUGGUGGGGUAAAGGCCUACCAAGGCGACGAUCUCUAGCUGGUCUGAGAGGAUGAUCAGCCACACUGGGACUGAGACACGGCCCAGACUCCUACGGGAGGCAGCAGUGGGGAAUAUUGCACAAUGGGCGAAAGCCUGAUGCAGCCAUGCCGCGUGUGUGAAGAAGGCCUUCGGGUUGUAAAGCACUUUCAGCGAGGAGGAAAGGUUAGUAGUUAAUAACUGCUAGCUGUGACGUUACUCGCAGAAGAAGCACCGGCUAAUUUAGUGCCAGCAGCCGCGGUAAUACUAAAGGUGCAAGCGUUAAUCGGAAUUACUGGGCGUAAAGCGCGCGUAGGUGGUUUGUUAAGUUGGAUGUGAAAGCCCAGGGCUCAACCUUGGAACUGCAUUCAAAACUGACUCACUAGAGUACGAGAGAGGUUAGUGGAAUUUCCUGUGUAGCGGUGAAAUGCGUAGAGAUGGGAAGGAACACCAGUGGCGAAGGCGACUGACUGGCUCGAUACUGACACUGAGGUGCGAAAGCGUGGGGAGCAAACGGGAUUAGAUACCCCGGUAGUCCACGCCGUAAACGAUGUCUACUAGCCGUUGGAGGACUUGAUCCUUUAGUGGCGCAGCUAACGCGAUAAGUAGACCGCCUGGGGAGUACGGUCGCAAGAUUAAAACUCAAAUGAAUUGACGGGGGCCCGCACAAGCGGUGGAGCAUGUGGUUUAAUUCGAAGCAACGCGAAGAACCUUANNNNNNCUUGACAUCCAGNNNNNNUGCUAGAGAUAGCUUGGUGCCUUCGGGAACACUGAGACAGGUGCUGCAUGGCUGUC